rnacentral:tRNA from 1 species
GCGGGAGUAACUCAGUGGUAGAGUGUCACCUUGCCAAGGUGAAAGUCGAGGGUUCGAACCCCUUCUCCCGCU